rnacentral:rRNA from 1 species
GACAGAGGGUGCGAGUGUUAAUCGGAAUGAUUGGGCGUAAAGGGCGCGUAGGUGGCCCAGUAGGUUUAAUGUGAAAGCCCCAGGCUUAACCUGGGAUAUGCGUUAAAAACCGCUGAGCUAGAGUGAGGGAGAGGGUUGUGGAAUAUCAGGUGGAGCGGUGAAAUGCAUAGAUAUCUGAUGGAACACCAGUGGCGAAGGCGGCAGCCUGGCUCUUAACUGACACUGAGGCGCGAAGGCGUGGGUAGCAAACAGG